CCCACCUAUCCCAUCCUAUUCUAAUCGGCUGAGAGCCGUUUCCAGUUCCACUCUCGACGGCGAAUAUCAUGCGGCUGCGAUGAGCGGCGGAUGGACUUGACGGCAAGUCCUCGGUGGCGCAGUGAGCGGCUUGUCUAUAGGGGUGUCGGUGUCAGCACAUGUGGUGGUCGUGGCGGCAGUACGGUGGCUCGACGGACCAGUCAGCGGCCGGCGAGGAGGCAUCACGACGGGUCCGCCAUGUCCCGCGCUAUUAGUCGCCGCGGCGGUUGUGCACGCCCGGGCCUCGUGGCCGCUGAAGGAAGCAACGUGAGGAGGCCGCGGUGGGAGCAACUCAUCUGGGCGAGCAGCCCCCAUUUGGGAUCCGCUCCUGUAGCAACGCCUGGGGUCCUCCAGUCCUUCAAUCCAUCCAUUUGACUGGACCGCCGCCCCUGAUGUGCUACGAGCUUCAAGUCUGCGUUCGUAUUUGUUCCAGAUUUGCACACCUAGAGGAGGGUGGAGGCUAUGGUUGUCCGUGCAGACUGUGAGAUGAAUAUUUCUACAGCUGGCAAGUGCUUCUUUUAUAUGGUUGGCCAGUGUGCUGCUUCCGUGGCUGUGUUGGAAGGGGACAGGGGUCCCCUACCAUGGUUGCUGCGAUGUGUCGGGGGAGGCAUGAGCUCGGUGCUCGUUGUAGACUAAGUGUCGCUUCUUAGUAUUGUCUCGGCUAUCUCCAUUGCUUUGGUUAUUGUCAUCAGCAACAUCAUCUGUGCAUUUGCUCCUCCAUGAGUGUGAUGUGUUGUUCAACAGGCGAAGUUUCUACCUCCAUGAGCUCGGCUUAGCACAGUGGCAGUGGUCAUUUUGCACCCCGGUUGGUCUCGGCAGUUGUUUUCACCCUAGGUCUCGGGGGAGCAUCUCCAUUUUCCAAUGGAUUGUUGCCUUCCGUGCCAAGGCGAGGGGGCAAGGAGCCCCCUUCGGAGAUGGAUGAGGUUGCAACUAUUUUCUCUUGUGCCCAUGGUGAUGUCGAAGACGCUUCCUCUCCUACUGGUUGUUCCUCGUUCCCAAGCCUCGGCUUUUGCUGCUGAUUACUGUCUUGUUCGUCGAGGAGGGCUUCAUCUACUUUAAGCUAGAAAUGUGCCUUAGUUGUUCAUCUUA